UGAGGAAUAUUGGUCAAUGGACGCAAGUCUGAACCAGCCAUGCCGCGUGCAGGAAGACGGCUCUAUGAGUUGUAAACUGCUUUUGUACGAGAGUAAACGCUCUUACGUGUAAGAGCCUGAAAGUAUCGUACGAAUAAGGAUCGGCUAACUCCGUGCCAGCAGCCGCGGUAAUACGGAGGAUCCAAGCGUUAUCCGGAUUUAUUGGGUUUAAAGGGUGCGUAGGCGGUUUGAUAAGUUAGAGGUGAAAUACCGGUGCUUAACACCGGAACUGCCUCUAAUACUGUUGAACUAGAGAGUAGUUGCGGUAGGCGGAAUGUAUGGUGUAGCGGUGAAAUGCUUAGAGAUCAUACAGAACACCGAUUGCGAAGGCAGCUUACCAAACUAUAUCUGACGUUGAGGCACGAAAGCGUGGGGAGCAAACAGGAUUAGAUACCCUGGUAGUCCACGCAGUAAACGAUGAUAACUCGCUGUCGGCGAUACACAGUCGGCGGCUAAGCGAAAGCGAUAAGUUAUCCACCUGGGGAGUACGUUCGCAAGAAUGAAACUCAAAGGAAUUGACGGGGGCCCGCACAAGCGGAGGAACAUGUGGUUUAAUUCGAUGAUACGCGAGGAACCUUACCCGGGCUUGAAAGUUACUGACGAUUCUGGAAACAGGAUUUCCCUUCGGGGCAGGAAACUAGGUGCUGCAUGGUUGUCGUCAGCUCGUGCCGUGAGGUGUCGGGUUAAGUCCCAUAACGAGCGCAACCCCUACCGUUAGUUGCCAUCAGGUCAAGCUGGGCACUCUGGCGGGACUGCCGGUGUAAGCCGAGAGGAAGGUGGGGAUGACGUCAAAUCAGCACGGCCCUUACGUCCGGGGCUACACACGUGUUACAAUGGUAGGUACAGAGGGCAGCUACCCAGUGAUGGGAUGCGAAUCUCGAAAGCCUAUCUCAGUUCGGAUCGGAGGCUGAAACCCGCCUCCGUGAAGUUGGAUUCGCUAGUAAUCGCGCAUCAGCCAUGGCGCGGUGAAUACGUUCCC
rnacentral:rRNA from 2 species